rnacentral:pre_miRNA from 1 species
GAAAUACUCCAUCCGUUCCGAAUUACUCGUCGCAGAAAUGGAUGUAUCUAGAUGUAUUUUAGUUCUAGAUACAUUCAUUUCUGCGACGAGUAAUUUGGAACGGAGGGAGUAUAAG